rnacentral:tRNA from 1 species
GCCUGGGUGGCUCAGUCAGUUAAGCAUCUGACUUCAACUCAGGUCAUGAUCUUGGGGCUUGUGAGUUCAAGCCUCGCGUCAGGCU